rnacentral:lncRNA from 1 species
UCCCCUGCCUUGCUGUCUUCAGUGAGUGAGUAACUGAAGGUUAGCAGAAUUCCUGGUUCUCCAGUAUGCUUAAUGCUUUUCUGUAAUAUGCUAUGGGUAAGAGAAUACCAGAUUUCUCACUAUAAUCAGACUACAUCAAGGUAACUGGUUUCAGGUAUCUGAAGCCUAUUAUAAUUGUGUGUGCAUAUGAGUGGAGAUCAGAUUCUCUUGCGUAUGAAAAAUGUGUGAAUCAUUAGUAGAUUUGAUUUCCAAAGGAAGAGUGGCCACCUGUACCUUUAGCAAAUGUUG